AGUUAAAACUGUAUGCUGUAUUUAUGAGUUGUUUUCCCUUCUUUUGUGUCGUUAGAGUGGUAAAGUUGAAUGGGAGAAAUCCAGACCCAAUUAUCCAUGCCUCAGAAUCUAAGAGAUUUUUAGGAUGGCACAUCUUCAGUGUCAUCUCAUCUUCUACCGUGUUUAAGGAUGAUUCUGCAUUCAACAGCUGCUUUAGAGCUUGCUUAGUAAAACAGAAAAUCACACACAAAACAACGAGAAAAUCACCAGCAUUUAUUUACUCAACAAAUAUUUAUGAAGAGUCGACUAUAUACUAGGUCCUGUGCUAAAUAUCCUGGAUAUUGUUUAUAGGUCAGAAACUGUGGGGAAGAAUAAACAGAAUGAGGAACUUUUUUCUCCUUGAAAAUAAUUAUAUUUUAUAAAUAAUUGAGGCAGAGAGAACUCUAAUACUUUCUUUUUUGGAAGAGUCGUUCUCCAAGGAGACAUGCUUGGGCCAAUCAUUUAGCUGAAAUGAUCACUAAACAUACAUAUAUACCUUAAAAUUCAUGAGCAAGGACCAUAAUAAAGCGAGGUGUUGUAUAUGGUAUACAUUUCUGUUUUCCCACCAUAUACACAAUUUGGGUUAUUUUACUUGGUGCCAUGGGCUAGGAACUCUUAGGGCUGGGAAACAAUCUUGGUUUCCCAACAGUCUAUAUCAUAUAGGUGAAAACUGUAAAAUACAUCACAGUGCAGAUGAAAUCUAACACUACUAGCUCAUUUUGUGCUGCUGUGGAAGCAGUGAAUUAAAAUUAAGUCCUGUACUGGGGAUUGGGCCUUUUGUCAGGGCAACUGAGAUCAACUGUACAGAAAUUUUCAAAUUUCCCUUCUCAUCAGGCAAACGGAUGGACAAUGAAGCCGGUUCAGAGGCCCAGCCGAGACAAUGAUGCACAGGGAAACUCCCUCGAGCCCCAGCUGUCACCUAGUACUUCGAAGACACUGAGAGAAUGCAUGUUGCCUGGUGUGCAAGGAAAAUGGUGUGGAUUGUUCAUUCAUCAGCAGGAGAAUGUAACAUGCAUACAUUGGAUGCAACAGCAAAGGCAGAAGGCAUCUUUAAAAAUUCUGAAUUUGCCCUUUCACUAAAGACAGAUUUAUUUUUUUAAAAAAGUACCUCUGGAAUAACGUUAAAUUGUAAAAUGUGGCUCAACUUUUCAAAUACUUACCUAAUUAAUACACAUAGUUAGAUCAAGCCAAAGGGUAUAUUCUAAUAAUAUGACUCAAUAAAGCAACUUGAUAUGACUUCUUCUCUUCAAGUCCACACAAGUUUUAAGAAAUCCUACACCAACAGUUCUUCUCCCAUUUCUAAUUAUUUAACAUGUUAGGUCAGAAGCAAAUUGUUUUACCUUAAGAGUUUCAAGUGUACCAUCUUCUUUGGCAAGGACGCUGCCAGUGAUUCCUAAAAUGCUAACGACAUUCACUCUAACCCCGACAUUACUACUAUGAAUGCCUGCUUUGCAUAAUGUCAUCAGCUGAUCAGGAGUCAUGCACUGUUAAAAGAGAAGAGGACAGUAUUUAUAAUGUUAAACUCAAUUAAUUCUAUCAGCAUGUGAAAACCGGACUGACAGGAAUCUCCUCUAUAGGCUACAGGAUUUUAAGAGUGACAUAAACUCCUGGCAGGUAAGUUACUAUUAAUAUGUAUUCCAGUUCUCCCAGACAGAGCUGGUAAUUCUGAACUAAGGUGAACCCUGCUCAUGUCGGCACUGUUAUCUAAUAUCAAAGGGGCUCCAUUUAAUUUGAUGAAGACUUUCAUUCCAGAUGUACACACACUAAAGAGAGUCCAAUUCCUUUUUAAUAUUAAUGGUAAGAAAAAGGCUUUGAAAGUAUAAAUAGGAUUGUGUGGUUUUAAAAAAAUUGGCUGAGUCUAUACAAGGUAAGAACUUACUUUGAGAUAUCUGUAUUAUCAUAAUUAAAGACUGUAGAAACCAUUACAUUAUAUGGUGCUUCUACCAUGUAGUGGAUAAUUUUCAGUUUAAGGCUGGGCGCGGUGGCUCACGCCUGCAAUCUCAGCUACUCAGGAGGCUGAGGCACAAGAAACGCUUGAACCUGGGAGACAGAGGUUGCAGUGAGCUGAGAUUGUGCCACUGAACUCUAGCCUGGGCAACAGAGUGAGACUAUCUCCUAUAAGCAGCAGCACAGUGUAGUGAUGAAAGGCUUGGAAUCUGGAGCCAGACACAAAGGCUUGGAAUCUGGAGAUUGAACCCUGGGUUCAAAUCCUAGCUUCACUACUUAUCACUCGUGUGAGCCCCUACACUAGACUAAUGUAUUUUUAUUUUUUGUAGACAUGAAGUCUCACAAAGUUGCCCAGGCUGUUCUUGAACUCUUGGGCUCAAGCAAUCCUCCCGCCUCAGGCUCCCAAAGUGUUAGGAUUAUUAGUAUGAGCCACUGCACCUGGCCCUGAACAUGGGCUUUGAGUAAUUUUCCUUAACCAUCACACUGAUCCCAUAAGCUGCUGCUUACAUACCAGGGGAAAUCAAUAAAAAUACUUGAUAUUCCUAUAGGCCCUAGAGUAUAAGGUUUUCUGGUCCAUCCAACAGCCACAUGGCAGGCUAUGCAUCCCAUUACCAUUCCUACUUCUUAGAAACUGAGGGUCAAAUUAUGCUCUUCAAAAAAAUUCUUAGCUUUGGAAAGCUGAGGCAAGAGGAUCACUCGAGAGCAGGAGUUUAAGACCAGGCUGGGCAACAUAGCAAGACCUCAUCUCUAUUAAAAAACUAAAAAAUAAAAAUAAAGUAUAAAAAAAUUUUAAAAGCAUUAAGAAAAAAAUUAUAUAAAGAAGCAAAAAGAAAUAGUGUUAUUGGCAAUAACAAGAGCAUUGUUAUUUUGAUACUAUUAAGUACAUUCCGUAGGAUAAAGCAAAUAAUAGUUUUAAUGUCACUACAAUUUUAAUGUUACUACAGCAAACAAUUUUAAUAUCACUGUAUAGCAAAUAAUUUUAAUGUCUUUUAAUGUCACUACUACAAAGUACAUUCUGUAGGAGAAAG
rnacentral:lncRNA from 1 species